CUGAAAUGUCUUUUUACAGCAUAUGACCACAUAGAUAAUGGAUAUAAGUGAUACUGGUGAAUAUGAAGACAACAGGAAGGAAUUAAUGCAGGAGAAGAAAUCUUAGAGAACAACAUCAUUGAAAGGAUAGACCAUUAAAAGGAUCUUUGUUGAAGGAGCAAUCAGAGAUGUCAGAGGAAAUUUUUUAAAAGGUGUUGUCAUAGACACCAAUGGAAGAGAAGAGAAUUUCAAGAGGAAGAGAGUUCUAAGUAGUGUUUGUGGAAAAUGUUUCCAGGGAGCCAAGUUGCACUUAUUUGAUUUGGUAACUAGAGGGUUAAUAAUGCCCUCAGGAAAGAGUGGUUUUAGUAGAGUGGUGGGGUGUUAAUGACAUUAGUAAGGGUAAAAGAGUGAAUAAGGGAUAAAGAAGAACAGAGAAUUAUAGAAUAAUCUUUCGAGAACCUUAGCUGUGAAGGGAAGGAAAAAGAUGAAAUUCAUUCUGCAUUUUCGUUAAUAGCAAAAAUAGCCUCUGAGUAAAAACCAUUUUUGCAAUCCUUGGUGACCAGAGUGAAUUUGCCAGAUCAACAAAUGUUCGUACACCCUUCUUUGAUUCUCAUAAAAUGGAGUGGGUAACUCCAGACAGCCUUCAUGGAGAUAAGACCACUAGAUUGUUACCAGGUUCCAGCAAGCCCACAGGACCGAGAAGAAACUGCCUUCACCUCAACAGCAAUUGUUGAGGAAACUGAAUUGGACUAUUUCUCCACUGCAAGGCAAGACGAUACCAUGAACUGGAUCACUGCACUAAUAGGUCGAUGAGAAAAUGACUUUUUCCUGGAGAAAUACAUCUCUUGUAAAAGCUACCAGGAGGAGAAAUGUCAGUCUGCCUAGUCCGACAAGGAAGAGUGAAGUUUUUGCCUAGAGAUCUCAUUAACGGAGAACAGACAGGAUACAACAUCAAGAGCGAAAGGGCAAAGUAA
rnacentral:lncRNA from 10 species